rnacentral:lncRNA from 1 species
UGGUGUGUAAUAUCAGGCUCAAGAUGGGGUUCUAUAUUUCAUAUUUUGUUUGUCCUUUAAACAAUUUGACAUACAUUUGUUUUAAAAAAAAUCUACAUAAAAUCCAUUUAUUUCGUGUACAAAUGACCACAAAACACUGUAUUUCUGUCGUUUGGUAUGGACUAUAAUGCUCGACUUUGUUUCUUCGAGCGUCAAAAGUGAUUUUUU